rnacentral:sRNA from 1 species
GCCGGGCAUGGUAGUGCACACUUGUAAUCCCAGCAGCUCUGGAGGCCGAGACAGGAGGAUCGCGAGUUCAAAGCGAACCUUGGCAACGGUGAGGCGCUGAGCAACUCGGUGAGACCCUGUCUCAA